CGCGCCUGCCCGCCCCAGGCAGCGCGGGACCCGGCCAGCAGCCGGCGCAGCGCUCCCCGGCCGCCAAGUAAGUUUGGAGACUGGAUCUGGAUUAAUCAUUAGGGGCUGGAUUCUGCCACCCUUACUCACUGUCAACUAGAACAGUCUCUGUAGUGCAGAACUCUCAUAAAUGUGAAGCAAACCAUCCACCAUUAUGUUUGGCACUAAAAGGU